rnacentral:rRNA from 1 species
UACGUAGGGGGCGAGCGUUGUCCGGAGUUACUGGGCGUAAAGGGCAUGCAGGCGGUCGGACGCGUUUCGGGUGACAGCGGGUGGCUUAACUACCCGAGUGGUCGAAAGACGGUUUGACUUGAGGACGCGAGAGGGACACGGAAUUCCGGGUGGAGUGGUGAAAUGCGUUGAUAUCGGAAGGAACGCCGGUGGCGAAAGCGAUCCGCUGGGCCUCUACUGACGCUGAGGCGCGAAAGCCAGGGGAGCAAACGGG